AGCUAUUAAACCCCGGGGGUUAUUCAACUGGUGAAAGGUUUGAAGACAGGCAAAAAGCUGUCUGCAGAAUUUCCCUGCUUCAAUCAAGAGCAAAUGCUGUGCCCUGAUGGGGAUUCUCAAUCCAUCAAAAGCGGUUUUCGCUGUCAGAAAAGCACUUUUGAGCAAUGCAUCUGAAAAUAAGUGUCCUUGAUCCAUCUGGAAAUGUGAGUCUCCAGAACCAGUCUUCAGAAAGCAUCACUGAACCAACGCUUUCUCCUUGCAGAUGUGGACCUUGAGAUGAAUUCUGAAGGCAAAGAAUGAUAUUCUCCUUUGAGACCUUUGGAUGAAAUGCAUGAUGUUAUGUAAGUACUAAGUAUUAUUUUUAACAAUAAUAUUCAAGUGAAUGAGGCAGCAGGAUUUUGCUCAGAAAAAAAGAUGUGCAGCAAUAUGACAAUGAACAAAAAGAAGCUA